rnacentral:snoRNA from 1 species
GUAAGUGACGAUAGAAAUGCUGUGCACCAGUCUGAAAGCCCACACGUACUCGUGGCGCGUUGAAGCAUUAAGUAUACCCAAAUUUCUGAUA